UCACAAAAAUUCAUUUUCCUUUGUCCCCAAAAAAUUAAACCCCAAUUUCCCCCCACAAAAAUUCACUUCCCUCCAUCUCCAAAACAAAUAAAUCCCAAAAACUUCCUCUCAUCUUCCAAACACCUCUCCUCUCCACCGUCUGUCUGUCGUCUGCUGAACCUCGAAGCCAUCCACCUGAAGACCGGACGCAAUCGACGACCACCUCAACCUCACAUGGUUCCAGCCCUAAUCGACAAACCCUAAACUAAAAUUCAAAAUCACGGUUCCUAAACACAUUUGAAAAGGAAUGCCUAUAUCCAAGGUGUUUGCACAAAUAGAGUAAUAUCCAAGCAUCUAUGAUGUUGUUCCUGUCAAGUACUUUGAUGAGGAUCCAUUGAAGAUAGAUGUCAUUAUAAUCUUCCCGGAUCAUGGUUUUCAUCUUCGUUUUAAUCCACGGUUUCAGUUACUCUGUUGGCCCCUAUGUUGAAGCAUGUAAUGUUUAUGUUUUUCUCAGUAAUAUUAUCUUACAAUAGCAUCUUGUCUGAUUCUCCAGAUCUGUUAUUUUGGCCAUACAUAAUCAGAUAUUGAGAAUCACAAUGAGGUUUUGCCAGACCCUAUAAACUUGUUAUUGUGACUUCCAGCACAUUAAUAGUUAUAAACGGUGUUUUCGGUACCGGUUGGUACUGAGCUCCUCCCUAUAAAUUACUUCCCCGGUACCAGUACCCACUUUUGGGAAUUUUCGGUACGGUAUUUUCGGUACCGGUUGGUACUGAGCUCAUCCCUAUUAAAUGAACAUCCCUAAGGGGAGGCAAUAUGGGUCGGGUUGACAAGGGCGUAGUGGCUGCACGUGCUAGUGCUUCUAGCAUGAUUCUUUGCAAUGCUGAAGCUAAUAAAGAUGAAAUGAUAGCUGAUCUUCAUGUGAUGCCAGCGACACACAUCACUAUGCUGACGGGCUUCUUCUCUACGUCUACCUCAACUCUACCAUGUAACUAAGAUGCAUGUGGAGUUUUUUUUUCCUCCCAGGGGAAGUAAUUAUGGAACAAGGCAAUGCAGUUGAACAACUUUAUUUCAUAUGUCAUGGUGAGCUGGUAUAAUUUUCUUUUCUAUAGUAGUAUUUGAAGUGUUUUGUUUAAUUGAUUGUUUAUUGGUUGCUGGAAACUGUUAAAAUUCCUAGAGAUGUGAAGUCGAGCGAUAUAUUGUUGGAUUCUGCCUUUAAAACACGGAUUGCAAAUUUUGGACAUGCAAAGAUUUUGACCAAGCUGAAGCUUGGUCAGGCCAAUGCUAUGUCUCCUAUAGUUGGAAUAUCUAGUUACAUUUUUUCUUGCAAUUGCUAUGGUUUCUGGUUGCAAGUAUGAAUUGAAGACGUCAGUUUAGGUUUCAAGUAUGAAGACAUCCGUUUAGGAAGUUAUUGUAUAUCACUUUUAUCUUUAGGGACAUGUAUUUGUGUUACUUUAAAACUUUUGUAAAUUUAUGUGA